GGGGCUGUCAUGGUUUCGACAGGGAUAUGUUUGGUAUAGACGGCAAUCGUGUGGCUAACGUUAAAGCUAUUAAAAAUAAACGGAAACAAAUUUGCUAACUUCUUCGGUGGAAACCGUGAAGUUGCUCUCGCUGCUUAAUUAACCUAAAUACUGGUUCGCAGCCGUCCUCUUAUUUUUCUCCUUUAGGAAUAAGCAGGGUGUCAGAAAUAAAGGAUAGGUAAUGUUUUUGUCUGAUGGAGCAUUAUCGAAAUUUAAAUCAGACACAUCAGUAAGGAGUUUGUUCAUCAUUACCUGCUGAUUAUCGAGUAUGAACUAAAUUGUAGAUGUCUAUACGUGGGACUGUUUCUGGACGCGGGUUCGACUCCCGCCAGCUCCACCA
rnacentral:tmRNA from 1 species